rnacentral:lncRNA from 1 species
CAGGGGAAUUUUCUCCGCUUUCCUUCCCAUCUGACAUGCACUCCACAAGACUGUAAAACGCAGCUCUAGAGCUCAAAGCGUGGCAGCCUGGGCCAACAUCCCCAAGAUUUGUUGUAGUGCAAUGGGGUGUCUUCUCUAGGUGCGAAGGGGAGGAGGCCAUGCAGUAGGGACUGGAACAGUGGACAACUGGAACUAGUGACAGCAUGAAGUUCAACAAAAGAAAAUGCUGGGUUCUGCACCUGGGAUGGAGUAACACCAGAUACAGACCAAUUACCUGGGUGUGUGUGUGUGCACUGAGAGGGAAAUUCACUUUGCUAAAGGUGUCAAUAACUGAACCGGAAUGCAAAGCAAUGGAAGUAGUCUCAUUCUGUGGGUCUAUAUGUAAAUAAAAGUCACUGGAUUUGGAGAUUAAAUUAUCACCUCUGCUUGCCCUGUAAAUAAACGGAGAUCUGCCUUCCUCACCUCUGAGCACAUCAGGAGACAGUGGUGGCACACACCUCCAGGUUCUUCAUCAGCAGUGUUUGCACAUCAGAGAUUGCUGCCUCGGG